rnacentral:rRNA from 1 species
CAAACUGGGAUUAGAUACCCCACUAUGCCUGGCCCUAAAUCUUGAUACUUAUCCUACCGAAGUAUCCGCCAGAGAACUACGAGCACAAACGCUUAAAACUCUAAGGACUUGGCGGUGCCCUAAACCCACCUAGAGGAGCCUGUUCUGUAAUCGAUAACCCACGAUCAACCCAACCACCCCUUGCCAAAACAGCCUACAUACCGCCGUCGCCAGCCCACCUCGAAUGAGAGCACAACAGUGAGCGCAACAGCACCCCCGCUAAUAAGACAGGUCAAGGUAUAGCCCAUGGGGCGGAAGAAAUGGGCUACAUUCCCUACACACUAGGGCAGCACGAAAAGAAGCAUGAAACUGCUUCUGGAAGGAGGAUUUAGCAGUAAAGUGGGACAAUAGAGCCUACUUUAAGCCGGCCCUAGGGCACGUACACACCGCCCGUCACCCUC